rnacentral:rRNA from 1 species
AGAGCGAACGCUGGCGGCAGGCUUAACACAUGCAAGUCGAGCGGGCGUAGCAAUACGUCAGCGGCAGACGGGUGAGUAACGCGUGGGAACAUACCUUUGGUUCGGAACAACACAGGGAAACUUGUGCUAAUACUGGAUAAGCCCUUACGGGGAAAGAUUUAUCGCCGAAAGAUUGGCCCGCGUCUGAUUAGCUAGUUGGUGAGGUAACGGCUCACCAAGGCGACGAUCAGUAGCUGGUCUGAGAGGAUGAUCAGCCACAUUGGGACUGAGACACGGCCCAAACUCCUACGGGAGGCAGCAGUGGGAAUAUUGGACAAUGGGCGCAAGCCUGAUCCAGCCAUGCCGCGUGAGUGAUGAAGGCCCUAGGGUUGUAAAGCUCUUUGUGCGGGAAGAUAAUGACGGUACCGCAAGAAUAAGCCCCGGCUAACUUCGUGCCAGCAGCCGC